rnacentral:rRNA from 1 species
CCUACGGGAGGCAGCAGUGAGGAAUAUUGCUCAAUGGCCGAAACCCUGAUCCAGCCACGUAGCGUGAAUGAUGACUUCCUUAUGUGUUGAAAACUUCUUCUAUAUGGCAAUAAAUUAUGCUACGUGAGGAAGUCUGUAUGUACCAUAUGAAUACGGCACGGCCAACUCUGGGCAAGCAGCCGCGGUAAUACGGAGGUUCCGAGCGUUAUAGGUAUUUAUUGGGUUUAAAGGGACCGUAGUUGGAUUGUCAAGUCAGUCGUGAAAGGUGGGGCCUCAACCGUAAGAUUGCAGGUGAUACUGGAAGGCUGGAGUGCAGUAGAGGUGAGCGGAAUUCGUGGUGUAGCGGUGAAAUGCGUAGAUAUCAGGAAGAACACCAGUUGCGAAGGCAGCUCACUGGACUGCAACUGACACUGAGGCUCGAAAGUGUGGGUAGCAAACAGGAUUAGAUACCCUUGUAGUC